AUGCCGUCCCCCCGCCUCUCACCGUGCCGAUCCGAGCCGUGCCGGGCCGUGAUGGCACCGCCGGGCGGCGGAACGCGGCGGCUCCGUGCGCCCUCCCCCGCGCCGGUGCGGCUCCGCGGGGCGCAGCGAGAGGCGGGGAUGCGGCUCCGCGGGGCGGGAUGGCACCGGGGGAUAGGCGGGACACAGCCGGGCUGGAAGGGGGACGAGACAGGGGAGAAAGCGGGAGUUCCAACGCCGUGCAAGGGGGGUGCGGAGGGGCUGCUUUGCCGAGGAAGGUGGCAGCUCUGGCUGAAUUCAGUCCAGGAUGGCUGUGGAGAACUCCGGCUCCUGCCUCACCAAGCCGAGAAGCACACUAGGUGAAAGGUUUCCAUGUUAUUUUCCACUGCUGUCUGAUGGAUCCCCAGAGUGUGUGCCCAGCUCAGCAGCCUCCUUCAAGAAACUGAAAACAUCAUGAAAUAUUUUUCCUUGAACUGCCUUGUAGUGGGCAGGCUGUCAUGCUUCAAACCACUAGCUGAAUGAUGCUUACAUAUUAAGUUGAAAAAGAAAACCCUAUCAGAGUCCUGGACCAUCAAAGGAAUUGUGCCUUGACAGUAAUUAAUUAAGUAAAACACUUACCUUCCAGAAUUAUAAAUAAAAAUUGAGUAUCAAAUAUUUGAUUCA
rnacentral:lncRNA from 1 species